rnacentral:rRNA from 1 species
AGCGAACGCUGGCGGCAUGCUUAACACAUGCAAGUCGCACGGUCAGCAAUGGCAGUGGCGGACGGGUGAGUAACACGUAGGAAUCUAUCCUGGGGUGGGGGGACAACAGCGGGAAACUGCUGCUAAUACCGCAUGAUACCUGAGGGUCAAAGGCGCAAGUCGCCUUAGGAGGAGCCUGCGUCUGAUUAGCUUGUUGGUGGGGUAAAGGCCCUACCCAAGGCGACGAUCAGUAGCUGGUCUGAGAGGAUGAUCAACCACAUUGGGACUGAGACACGGCCCAAACUCCUACGGGAGGCAGCAGUGGGGAAUAUUGGACAAUGGGCGAAAGCCUGAUCCAGCAAUGCCGCGUGUGUGAAGAAGGUCUUCGGAUUGUAAAGCCCUUUUGGCGGGGACGAUGAUGACGGUACCCGCAGAAUAAGCUCCGGCUAACUUCGUG